rnacentral:rRNA from 1 species
GCCCUACGGGGCGCAGCAGUGAGGAAUAUUGGUCAAUGGGCGCAAGCCUGAACCAGCCAAGUCGCGUGAGGGAAGACGGCCCUACGGGUUGUAAACCUCUUUUGCCGGGGAGCAAGCCUGAGCACGUGUGCCCAGGCGGAGAGUACCCGGAGAAAAAGCAUCGGCUAACUCCGUGCCAGCAGCCGCGGUAAUACGGAGGAUGCGAGCGUUAUCCGGAUUUAUUGGGCGUAAAGAGAACGCAGGCGGUCUUUUAAGUCUGA